rnacentral:lncRNA from 1 species
CCCCGAAUAGCUCCCGGCUGAAGUCAGAGCCCGCGCGGAGCCGGGGGUGCUCCGCGCCGCCGCCCGGGCCCCUCGAGGGCGCGGGGCUGCCCAACCCGCGCGUCCCGGGAGCGGGGCCCUGCCCGAGGCGGGAGCGCCUCUCCGAACCGCCCCCGCAGCCGUCCUCCCGAGUACUUCUUACACCACUGCGGCUGGGUGGGCAGCAAGGCUCCGCAGCGCGGACCGAGCCCGAGCUGCCACGGGGAAAGCAGGCAGCCCUGCGGAAACCCCGCCGGUUGUAGGACGCUGGGGAAGAGGCUCAGGCCCCGCUGCUCACGAAGGCAACUCCCCCGCAGUCCCUUCUGGCCAAGGGGCGAAGUUCCUUCCUGACCCCAGCUCUGGGGAUCUGCCGGACCCCGAGCAGACAGGUAAGGAGCCUCUGGCUUUGGUCCCAAUAGGAGCAUGGGCUCCCCAUGGUCAAAGUCCCCAGCUUUGGCUGUCGCCAUCACCCAAUGCCUGCAGGAAGGCUUAGAAACACCCUGAUACAUAGCAGAAAGCAUAACCAGUUUCAGUUUACAGCCCUGCUCCUUAAAUCUAUAUGACUCACCCAGGUGUCCUGACACAGGAAGCGCUCAAGGUGUUGGUGCCGCAGCGUGAAAGAAAACAGUGCCUGGAAAUGGGGUCGAGGACAGGGCAGGAGCCCACACCUAGCAAACCAGGGUCUUCUAGGAAAAGUCACAGGGCAGCCGAGCAGACCUCCCUGGGAACAUGGGGCUGGGACGAAAGGAACAGCGGGCUGCAGGUGUCCCACCCUUUGGAUAAGGACAGACCUAGCUUCAUCUCUCUGCAGGCCCAUGGCUGGAGAUGCUAGCACAGUUCUGGUGAAGAUGUUGCAGUACUGGGCAGCUAGAAUGAAAGUUUCCAAAGUACUAAGCAGUGAAAGAAUGAAAUGGUAUAUUUAGAGUCUACUGUAAUAGACACCUGAUAAAUGCAUCUGUUUACAUAAAAAGAAACAAGAUUCUCAAAGUGAGGUAUCUUUUAUUGGACAAACUUACAUAGUUUUGAGAUGAGCUUUUCAGGUUUUGAGUGACCUUCUUCAGGUCUAGAAAAGAAGCAAUCACUGUGCAAGAACAGUUACUUUACUUUAUCCUAAUCAGAUUAAUAAAUGUCAUAGAUUUCAUAGACA